rnacentral:rRNA from 1 species
CCUACGGGUGGCAGCAGUGGGGAAUAUUGGGCAAUGGACGCAAGUCUGACCCAGCAACGCCGCGUGAAGGAAGAAGGCUUUCGGGUUGUAAACUUCUUUUAAGGGGGAAGAGCAGAAGACGGUACCCUUUGAAUAAGCCACGGCUAACUACGUCCCAGCAGCCGCGGUAAUACGUAGGAUGCGAGCGUUAUCCGGAUUUAUUGGGUUUAAAGGGUGCGUAGGUUGUUUUUUAAGUCAGGGGUGAAAGUUUGUGGCUCAACCAUAAAAUUGCCGUUGAAACUGGAGGACUUGAGUGUGUGUGAGGUAGGCGGAAUGCGUGGUGUAGCGGUGGAAUGCAUAGAUAUCACGCAGAACUCCGAUUGCGAAGGCAGCUUACUAGGCCAUAACUGACACUGAGGCACGAAAGCGUGGGGAUCAAACAGGAUUAGAUACCCCAGUAGUC